rnacentral:rRNA from 1 species
CGGCGAGUGAAGCGGGAACAGCUCAAAUUUGAAAUCUCCGUUGCUUGCAACGGCGAAUUGUAGUUUCGAGAAGCACUUUCUAGGCGGAUCGGCCCUGUCUAAGUUGCUUGGAACAGCACGUCAUAGAGGGUGACAACCCCGUCCGUGACGGGGGCGGCCGCUGACGAUGUGUUUUCGAAGAGUCGGGUUGUUUGGGAAUGCAGCCCAAAAUGGGUGGUAAACUCCAUCUAAAGCUAAAUAUAGGCACGAGACCGAUAGCGAACAAGUACCGUGAGGGAAAGAUGAAAAGAACUUUGAAAAGAGAGUUAAAAAGUACGUGAAACCGUUGAAAGGGAAACGAAUGGAGUUAGCAAUGCACCCCGCAAGAUUCAGCCUGUGGGUGGCGCGGACGGGCGGUUGGCGGAUCUGAAUGGACCGCCGUCGUCCGGCUCGUUCUCCCCGCCGUCGCACUUCUUGCGGGUGCGCGUCAACGUCGGUUCGGACUCGGUUUUAAGGCUCGCGGGAAGGUAGGUCGGACGCUCCGGCGCCCUUCUGUUACAGCCCGCGUGUUCCUAUGGCCGGGACCGGACCGAGGCGUCGCAGCGCAUGCCUCUUGUGGCUAGGGUCCCUUCGUGCCGGUCGGUCGUCGACCGUGGUGGACUGCGUGCAGUGCACCCGAACCGCUGCCGGUCGCCGCGGGGGUGACUUCGUACAAUGCGCUAAGGACGUUGGCGGUCAUAUGGCUUCAUCCGACCCGUCUUGAAACACGGACCAAGGAGUCUAGCCUGUGCGCGAGUCUUAGGGUGAUGGAAACCCAGAGGCGCAAUGAAAGUGAAAGCGGCCUGGCCGCCGAGGUGAGAACCUCUCCUCUCUUCCUUUGGGAGAGAGUCGAGUGGCGCAUCAUUGACCGAUCUAUUCUACUCUUAGGAAGA